rnacentral:misc_RNA from 1 species
UUGCAUCAGAUAUAGAAGCAUAAAGACGAUGGGUCCUCUGUCUCUCUGGAUCUUCAUCCAGAAUGCCAGAUCCAAUAGACUCUCCAUUAUUUUGUCCAUUUAAUGCUUUGAGGCUUCUCACCAUGGAAUCUUCACUAACAAGGUAAGAGAAGUCAGGUUGGCUGCCUCUUUUAGUGACAAAACCACUCCCAGCCACUUCUCCUCUGAAAAUAGAUAACCAGCAUUGCUCAUCAAACGGACAAAAG